CGUAGGUGGCGAGCGUUGUCCGGAUUUAUUGGGUUUAAAGGGUGCGUAGGCGGCCCUAUAAGUCAGUGGUGAAAUAUCGCAGCUUAACUGUGAGGGUGCCAUUGAUACUGUAGGGCUUGAGUGAAUUUGAGGUAGGCGGAAUUGACGGUGUAGCGGUGAAAUGCUUAGAUAUCGUCAAGAACACCGAUAGUGAAGACAGCUUACCAAGCUUCAACUGACGCUGAGGCACGAAAGUGUGGGGAUCAAACAGGAUUAGAUACCCUGGCAGUCCACACUGUAAACGUUGAUUACUCGCUGUUGGCGAUACACAGCCAGCGGCUAAGCGCAAGCGAUAAGUAAUCCACCUGGGGAGUACGCCGGCAACGGUG
rnacentral:rRNA from 1 species